UUAAUAGAAACCAAAAAGAGGUAUUCCACUGUUAAUGGAAAAAUUGAAGCAUCUUCCUAUUAAG
rnacentral:tRNA from 1 species